AGGUAAACGUGCCGCCGUAGGUCAGUCUCCUCAUAGUCGCCUGUUCGAGCUGAGCCAGCAAUCACUGAGAGCGGAGCCGAGCGCCAUUUAGUUGAGCAGCAGCCAGCCACGCCGCCCGGUGGACGAUGAAGCGACACCCGUCCCGCCCCACCAGCCUGCUCGAGAGAAGCAGCUUUGUAUCCAUGUGGAUCAGCGGGAAGUCCGCCAGAACCAUCGCUCGGGAGUCUGGCGUGAGCGCGUCCACUGUUUGUAGGUGGAUCAACCGGUGGAGGCAAGAAGGCAACGUGUACAAUCACAAGCCGCUGAAAACCUACCCGUUCAAUUCCUUCAUGCAGACAGAGCUGAGGAAUGCUGGUACACUUGUGGUCAGAAACUGAGGAACCUUCUGUCUCUCUCUCUCUCUCUCUCUCUCUCUCUCUCUCUCUCUCUCUCUCUCUCUCUCUCUGUAUUUCAAACUAAAAUCUUCUUUGUAUUACUAUGCGGUUGUAUUCAGGAGGAUGUUGGUAAUAUGAAUAAAAGGUUACCUUUUU